UAUCAUCUUUUCUUCUUCAUUUUCCACUCUCAUCUUCACCUUACUUAACUACUUUCAACAAUGUCUCUAGACCCUUGCCCUUAGAUGUUGGGUACCCCUUGCAUGUGUUUAGCUUCCAUGGAUGCAAUGCAAAGCUCUGUCGCACAGUGUAACCUGUAACGAGGAAUUUCUGUUACCAAACUGGGUUCAAUCUCUCAACAGCUAGGCAAACAGAACACAAGUAGAUGUUGUAUUGUGUCGUUCUCAGAAGGAUUUGUUGUUGCAUCGUGUCGUUUUCCAAGGAUUUGUUGUAUCUGCUGUCUCCCAACAAAAGAUUCCAAUUUAUAAA